AUAACGCGUUGAAACAGCGGUUCCCGUGCGAUCACUGUAUUUAAGCAACGUCAGGCUUGAUUAGUAAGAAGAUGGGUGACAGUUUUCGAAUACCAGGUGCUGUAA